CCCGCUGAACUUAAGCAUAUCAAUAAGCGGAGGAAAAGAAACCAACAGGGAUUGCCCUAGUAACGGCGAGUGAAGAGGCAAUGGCUCAAAUUUGAAAUCUGGUCCCCUUGGGGCCCGAAUUGUAAUUUGCAGAGGAAGCUUCGGUGAGGAUGCCGGCCCAAGUCCCCUGGAACGGGACGUCAUAGAGGGUGAGAACCCCGUCCGGCUACGUGUCCAAACCAUGUGUUGCUCCUUCGACGAGUCGAGUUGUUUGGGAAUGCAGCUCAAAAUGGGUGGUAAAUUCCAUCUAAGGCUAAAUAUUGGCCAGAGACCGAUAGCGCACAAGUAGAGUGAUCGAAAGAUGAAAAGCACUUUGAAAAGAGAGUUAAAAAGCACGUGAAAUUGUUGAAAGGGAAGCGCUUGCGGCCAGACCCUAUUAUGGUUGUUCAACCGGCCCAUUGUGGCCGGCUCAUUCUUCCAUAUUAGGGCCAGCAUCGGUUUAGGCGGUUGGAUAAAGGCCCUAGGAAUGUGGCCCUUUGGGGUGUUAUAGCCUAGGGUGUAAUGUGACCCGCCUAGACCGAGGGAAGCGAUUUCUAGGAUGCUGGCAUAAUGGUUGCAAGCGGCCCGUCUUGAAACACGG
rnacentral:rRNA from 1 species